rnacentral:rRNA from 1 species
UAGGGAAUCUUGCGCAAUGGGCGAAAGCCUGACGCAGCAACGCCGCGUGGGGGAUGAAGGCCUUCGGGUUGUAAACCCCUUUCAGCAGGGACGAAACUGACGGUACCUGCAGAAGAAGCACCGGCCAACUACGUGCCAGCAGCCGCGGUAAUACGUAGGGUGCAAGCGUUGUCCGGAUUCAUUGGGCGUAAAGGGCUAGUAGGCGGCUUAGCAAGUCGGGUGUGAAAACUCCAGGCUCAACCUGGAGCGGCCACUCGAGACUGCUAUGGCUAGAGUCCGGUAGGGGACCACGGAAUUCCUGGUGUAGCGGUGAAAUGCGCAGAUAUCAGGAGGAACACCAGUGGCGAAGGCGGUGGUCUGGGCCGGAACUGACGCUGAAUAGCGAAAGCGUGGGUAGCAAACAGG